rnacentral:rRNA from 1 species
GUGAGGAAUAUUGCGCAAUGGAGGCAACUCUGACGCAGCCAUGCCGCGUGCAGGAAGAAGGCGCUACGCGUUGUAAACUGCUUUUAACCGGGAAGAAACCCCAGGACGUGUCCUGGGUUGACGGUACCGGAGGAAUAAGCACCGGCUAACUUCGUGCCAGCAGCCGCGGUAAUACGAAGGGUGCAAGCGUUAUCCGGAUUCAUUGGGUUUAAAGGGUGCGUAGGCGGAGCGUUAAGUCAGUGGUGAAAUCCUGCAGCUUAAAUGUAGACUUGCCAUUGAUACUGGCGCUCUUGAGUGCGCUUGAAGUGGGCGGAAUGUGCCGUGUAGCGGUGAAAUGCUUAGAUAUGGCACAGAACACCAAUUGCGAAGGCAGCUCACUAAGGCGAUACUGACGCUGAGGCACGAAAGCGUGGGGAUCGAACAGGAUUAGAAACCCGAGUAGUCC